rnacentral:siRNA from 1 species
GAAUUGUUAUUUCAGAGUAAUUAG